rnacentral:rRNA from 1 species
GUUGAAGGGCCGCGGUAUUUUGACCGUGCGAAGGUAGCAUAAUCAUUAGUCUUUUAAUUGAGGGCUUGUAUGAAUGGUUGGACAAAAAAUAAGCUGUCUCAGUUAUAUAAAUUGAAUUUAACUUUUAAGUGAAAAGGCUUAAAUGUUUUAGGGGGACGAUAAGACCCUAUAAAGCUUUACAAUUAUUUAAUUAAAUUAUAAAUUGUUAGUAUAAACUUGGUUUAAUUGAUGUUUGUUUCGUUGGGGCGACGAGAAUAUAAUUUUGUAACUGUUCUUUUAUGAUUUGUUACAAUGAUUUUUGGGAAAAAAUGAUCCUUUAUUAAAGAUUAAAAGAUUAAGUUACUUUAGGGAUAACAGCGUAAUCUUCUUUGAAAGUUCAUAUCGACAAGAAGGGUUGCGACCUCGAUGUUGAAUUAAGAGUUCUCCGUGGUGCAGUGGUUACGGUUAGAAGGUCUGUUCGACCUUUAAAUUCUUACUGA